GAGGGGGAGAGAAGGGGGAAGAAAGAGAGAAGAAAGAGAGAGGGGGAGAACUGGGUACCACACAUCUCCACCGGGGGUUCCCCCAGAGGGGGUAAGAUAAGGCACAAUCCUACUGACCCACACACACACACAACUAUGACAUAAAGAUGAAUUUGGUCAUACAUAAUCUGAGAAGAAUAGAUUGAUAUCCAUGUGUUUCCCUUAUUGUACAUAAAUAGUUAGUAAUGUACAUAUUGCACAUAAUCUUUAUGUACUGGAUAUGUAUGUGUCCAGGCUGGUUCUGCCAGAACCCUCAGUUCCACUUGACCCUGUUGGAGGAGGACAAUGACCCCAGUGACCUUGAGCUGACCUGUUCCUUCCUGGUGGCCCUCAUGCAGAAGCACCAGAGACUUAGAGGAGUCCACCUGGGCAUCGGCCUGGAUACCCACACACCUGCACAUGAACGUAUGCACACAUACACAAACACACCCAACAGGAAAUACAACCAGAGUAGAUUUAAAUGAGCCACAGUAAAUGUGAGAGAAAAUAAGAGAGGAACAAGUGAGGGAAUAUUUGAGUGUGGCAGCAUAUUUCUCAGUGUGGAAAUGUGUGCACACCCUACGGUAUCUAACCCUCUCUUCCCAGGCAUGCUCAGAGUGUGCUUACCUGUCCUCUCUGGACCUGAGCUUGCUCCGCCCACUCAUCAGCACCCGGAGGUGUUGAUUCGCGGUCGCCUGGCACCCGGCCAUUAUGUCAUCAUCCGUUCCACCCCGGAGACCAAUCAGCAGGGAGAGUUAAUUCUGUGGGUGUUGACAGAAAAGUGACUGGACCGGUCCAUGACUGGAGGUUGGAGGAAGAGUUACCUAUGAUAUAUGUUAAAGUAUCAGGGCACUCAGUCAAGAAAAGGCUCUCUAAAUUACACUGAGUUUACAAAACAUGAGGAACACCUACUCUUUCCAUGACAUAGACUGACCAGGUGAAUCCAGGUGAAAGCUAUGAUCCCUUACUAAUGUCUCUUGUUAAAUCCACUUCAAUCAGUGUAGAUGAAGUUGGGAGACAGUUUAAAGAAGCCUUGGUUUUUAAGCCUUGGGACAAUUGAGAAUGUGUGUCAUUCAGGGGGUGAAUGGGCAAGACAAAAUAUUGAAGUGCCACCGGUUUGUGUGUCAAAAACUGCUUCACUGUUGUGUUUUUCACACACAACAGUUUCCCGUGUGUAUCAAGAAUGGUCCACCUCCCAAAGGACAUCCAGCCAACAUGACAACUGUGAGAAGCAUUGAUGUCAACAUGGGCCAGCAUCCUUGUGGAACGCUUUCGACACCUUGUAGAGUCCAUGCCUCGACAAAAUAAAGCUGUUUUGAGGGCAAUAGGGGGUGUGUAACUCAAUAUUAGGAGAAGCAUGGCACUGAUAGAAGCCCCACAGGUAGAAGUCAUGGCAUGCUAUUGAAGUCCAAAGUAUCCACAAUCCAUCACCCCCUGUUGAGUGUUUGUGAUGUGACUAAAUGGUCCUGUGUGUUUCACUGUGGAUCUCCCUGUCGGCUCUCCUGAAGCCACACGACAGCUCUUUGAAGAAGCACUGCAACAAGGUGAGAACACCACCUCUGUGUAGUAGGUUCCAUGUAAACUCUUCCAUUCUAGCCUGAGAUAUGCAAUAUUUACUCUCCAAAUUUUUUCCUAACCUCCCAGCGAAAGGGUAGUGUCGACCUUUGGAGCUUCUCAACCUGCUAACAACGGCCAUAAAAUGCGGAGGUAAGGGUUUGGCUCCAAACAUGGACACCUAUCCUCCCUCAAAAAUGGGAGCCAAGGCACACCUUUUGUGUACACACUUCUCCUUUUACAACAUUGCCUCGUCCACAUGCAUCUUGGAAAUUCUGGAGGGCUGUACGAAUCCCUCUGCUGAUUUAGUAGUCUUCCAUAAGCCAUAACCACUGUGGGAACAUUCAGGAAGAAGUGACGUCACUGCAGGAGGAGGUUUUAACUUUUCCUAACUGAUGUUUUGUCUGUGUGGAGCAAAAUAAGCUGGUCCUGGAGCACUGCAAGGGCUUUGUGGUCCUCAUGGAUGUAUCCUUUCUCUUGGGGAAAGAAAUACAUGUAUGGCUGAACCAGUGUGCAUCAUGUCUCAGCAUGGCUGUAUGGUUAGUAGUUGAUAUAGAUCAAUAGCCAUGUUAAUAUAGGUUAAAUGUAUGCCAGAUUCUGGUGUAGCGGUCUACGCGCAUAUGUGCCCCAGCGAUACGGGGUUCGAGCCACGGCUUGCCCGAUUGUUUGAAGAUCAUAGCUCCCCCCAAAAAAGGGCUAUGCAAUGUGUAACGUUACACACAUGCCAUGUAUGUACAUAGACAUACAAAGGUAGGGUAACUUGUCCACCAUGACCUCACUUGGUCUGCUGAUCUACCAAGACCUUAAUUUUGUUAUGCGUUUUUGAUGGAACAUUCCCUUGACUGCAGUGUCAGCCCAGAGUCGGGGGUUAGCUCACUGUUCUAGGCACUGUGGGACAAGAUCAGGAAAUGUAAAUGGACGAUAAGGUCUAAACCAUACUAAACCGUCUGUCAGUGGAAGGUUUACAGUUUCAUUCAUUCUGUUCUUUCAAAAUGAUGAGAAGUUUGGAAAAUAGUUUGAUUGGCUAAAGCAUGCUUUGUGUCUUGGUAGUCUAAUUUGGAUUGGCUAAAGGAAAUAUUAUAGUGACUUGUGACUUCUGAUUCAAUCAUGUGUCACUGAGCUAAUUCAAUCACACGACCUGUUGCGAUGCAUGUGAAGUGAUUGAAUUAUAUUUGUCUGAAAAGAUUAUGCUGGCCUUGAUCUUCCACUUAACAAAAGGAUAUAUUCAUGACGUUUGACAAUAACAAAUCCCAGUUGCUGGAGUACCCUGAAGUCUCACCUGCCUCGAAAGCUGGAGGUAGGACACACUUAUGAUAUGACAAGCUUCCAUUGGUGCCUUUUAGGGGGCACCAAAACAUCAUUCUUCAUGUUCAGUCCCUAUUGGUCCAUAUGAACAGUAUGCCAACAGCAUUUACACUGCUGAAACAGCAGGGGAUGUGGUUGAACAUGAAUUGAUCUGUGUUCGUCUGGUCUGGUCUAGGCAUGGCGGUGGAUGACUUCGUCCUGCAGCUGAUUGGCCUGCGCAACACGGAGCCGGACAUGACAUUCAGUUACCCCGGUUUCCUUUACCUGCUGAUGGAACUGGACAACAUGAUCCAUACAUUUCAAGACUUUGUAUGACAUUGUGGGAAUGGGGACCAUGUCAGUCAGCUACAGAUAGUGGCUCCACAUGACGAUAUACAGUACAACUGACCCAAUGUGCAACUGAUCCAAUCUCACUGGAUUUCAGCCCCUCCUCCGCCUGUUCAACUGGUUUUUGUUGCAAUAUUGUUUUAAAUAAAAAGUUACCGUAGAUUCACUUUGCAA